GCUUACACAUGCAAGUCGAACGGGAUCCAUCAGGCUUUGCUUGGUGGUGAGAGUGGCGAACGGGUGAGUAAUGCGUGACCGACCUGCCCCAUACACCGGAAUAGCUCCUGGAAACGGGUGGUAAUGCCGGAUGCUCCGACUCCUCGCAUGGGGUGUCGGGAAAGAUUUCAUCGGUAUGGGAUGGGGUCGCGUCCUAUCAGGUAGUCGGCGGGGUAACGGCCCACCGAGCCUACGACGGGUAGCCGGCCUGAGAGGGCGACCGGCCACAUUGGGACUGAGAUACGGCCCAGACUCCUACGGGAGGCAGCAGUGGGGAAUAUUGCACAAUGGGCGCAAGCCUGAUGCAGCGACGCCGCGUGCGGGAUGACGGCCUUCGGGUUGUAAACCGCUUUUGAUCGGGAGCAAGCCUUCGGGUGAGUGUACCUUUCGAAUAAGCACCGGCUAACUACGUGCCAGCAGCCGCGGUAAUACGUAGGGUGCAAGCGUUAUCCGGAAUUAUUGGGCGUAAAGGGCUCGUAGGCGGUUCGUCGCGUCCGGUGUGAAAGUCCAUCGCUUAACGGUGGAUCUGCGCCGGGUACGGGCGGGCUGGAGUGCGGUAGGGGAGACUGGAAUUCCCGGUGUAACGGUGGAAUGUGUAGAUAUCGGGAAGAACACCAAUGGCGAAGGCAGGUCUCUGGGCCGUUACUGACGCUGAGGAGCGAAAGCGUGGGGAGCGAACAGGAUUAGAUACCCUGGUAGUCCACGCCGUAAACGGUGGAUGCUGGAUGUGGGGCCCGUUCCACGGGUUCCGUGUCGGAGCUAACGCGUUAAGCAUCCCGCCUGGGGAGUACGGCCGCAAGGCUAAAACUCAAAGAAAUUGACGGGGGCCCGCACAAGCGGCGGAGCAUGCGGAUUAAUUCGAUGCAACGCGAAGAACCUUACCUGGGCUUGACAUGUUCCCGACAGCCGUAGAGAU
rnacentral:rRNA from 1 species